UACGUAGGGGGCAAGCGUUGUCCGGAAUCAUUGGGCGUAAAGAGCGUGUAGGCGGCUCGAUAAGUCUGCUGUGAAAGUCCAGGGCUCAACCCUUGGAUGCCGGUGGAUACUGCAGGGCUAGAGUCCGGAAGAGGCGAGUGGAAUUCCUGGUGUAGCGGUGAAAUGCGCAGAUAUCAGGAGGAACACCGAUGGCGAAGGCAGCUCGCUGGGACGGUACUGACGCUGAGGCGCGAAGACGUGGGGAGCAAACAGG
rnacentral:rRNA from 1 species